UGCACUUUUGAACUGUCCUAUGAUGCCUUC
rnacentral:piRNA from 1 species